rnacentral:sRNA from 1 species
GAAAGAUAGAGAGUAUUUGCUGCUAGCAAUUCUCAAGAAGAAAUUCAUGUUUGAGACUAUGCAAAGGUUACCUCAUAUACUAUUUGGGAGAUCCCUGCAGCAAUUUUAUGCAGAAAUGUUUUUGCUGAGAGCAACUUAGCACAAGGGAGAGCAGAGCUCAGGGUGGCGUUGUAGGGAUUUUCUUCGAAGUUCUUAAGAACUAUGCAGAAAGGUUUGGCAGCUUACAUGAUUAAUAUGAUGAAGGAUAUAACCAGAGGAAUUGGCGAAAAAGAAC